rnacentral:rRNA from 1 species
UACGGAGGAUCCAAGCGCUAUCCGGAAUCAUUGGGUUUAAAGGGUCCGUAGGCGGUUUGGUAAGUCAGUGGUGAAAGCCCAUCGCUCAACGGUGGAACGGCCAUUGAUACUGCCAGACUUGAAUUAUUAGGAAGUAACUAGAAUAUGUAGUGUAGCGGUGAAAUGCUUAGAGAUUACAUGGAAUACCAAUUGCGAAGGCAGGUUACUACUAAUGGAAUUGAC